GAAACUAACAAGGAUUCCCCUAGUAACUGCGAGUGAAGCGGGAAAAGCUCAAAUUUAAAAUCUGGCAGUCUUUGAUUGUCCGAGUUGUAAACUAGAGAAGUGUUAUCCGCGCUGGACCGUGUAAAAGUCUCCUGGAAUGGAGCAUCAUAGAGGGUGAGAAUCCCGUCUUUGACAUGGACUACCAGUGCUUUGUGAUGCGCUCUCAAAGAGUCGAGUUGUUUGGGAAUGCAGCUCAAAAUGGGUGGUAAAUUCCAUCUAAAGCUAAAUAUUGGCGAGAGACCGAUAGCGAACAAGUACCGUGAGGGAAAGAUGAAAAGAACUUUGGAAAGAGAGUUAAACAGUACGUGAAAUUGCUGAAAGGGAAACGCUUGAAGUCAGUCGCGUCGGCCAGGAAUCAACCUUGCUUUUGCUGGGCGUACUUUCUGGUUGACGGGUCAGCAUCAAUUUUGACUGCUGGAAAAAGUUCAAGGGAAUGUGGCAUCUUCGGAUGUGUUAUAGCCCUUGUUCGCAUACAGCAGUUGGGAUUGAGGUACUCAGCACGCCGCAAGGCCGGGUUUCGACCACGUUCGUGCUUAGGAUGCUGGCAUAAUGGCUUUAAUCGACCCGUCUUGAAACACGGACCAAGGAGUCUAACAUGCCUGCGAGUGUUUGGGUGGAAAACCCAAGCGCGCAAUGAAAGUAAAAGUUGAGAUCCCUGUCAUGGGGAGCAUCGACGCCCGGACCAGAGCUUUUGUGACGGAUCUGCGGUAGAGCAUGUAUGUUGGGACCCGAAAGAUGGUGAACUAUGCCUGAAUAGGGUGAAGCCAGAGGAAACUCUGGUGGAGGCUCGUAGCGAUUCUGACGUGCAAAUCGAUCGUCAAAUUUGGGUAUAGGGGCGAAAGACUAAUCGAACC
rnacentral:rRNA from 1 species